UACGUAGGGUGCAAGCGUUAAUCGGAAUUACUGGGCGUAAAGCGUGCGCAGGCGGUUUUGUAAGACUGUCGUGAAAUCCCCGGGCUCAACCUGGGAAUGGCGAUGGUGACUGCAAGGCUUGAGUACGGCAGAGGGGGGUAGAAUUCCUGGUGUAGCAGUGAAAUGCGUAGAUAUCAGGAGGAAUACCGAUGGCGAAGGCAGCCCCCUGGGUCGAUACUGACGCUCAUGCACGAAAGCGUGGGGAGCAAACAGG
rnacentral:rRNA from 1 species